rnacentral:rRNA from 1 species
UACGUAGGCAGCAAGCGUUGUUCGGAAUUACUGGGCGUAAAGAGUGUGUAGGCGGUGCUCUAAGUUUGGUGUGAAAUCUCCCGGCUCAACUGGGAGGGUGCGCCGAAAACUGGGGUGCUGGAGCGCAGGAGAGGAAAGCGGAAUUCCUGGUGUAGCGGUGAAAUGCGUAGAUAUCAGGAGGAACACCGGCGGUGUAGACGGCUUUCUGGACCGUAGCUGACGCUGAGACACGAAAGCGUGGGUAGCAAACAGG